UGAGGUGCUCUGUUAUAUGAGCUUUCGCUUUUAUUACCUUGAUAACAACAAGUACAUUUAAAAAACUUUUAAAGACAUCCUUUUCAAAGAUUUUUCUAAAAUUUUUUCCCUUAUUAAAGACAAAAAAGUUAGGUUGGAAAUGUGGCAAGGGCAUUUGUUCCUCGUUGUAUCGUUGGUUUCUGGAAAAUGCUUUAAUAUGCAAGAUUUUGUGCCAAAAAAGCGAGCAAGUUCAUUAUCAACAUUAUUCUUAUUUAAAUAAAAACAUUUUUUUUUAAUAACAGUUUAAUGAAUGCUUUCGAGUCUUUUCCGUAAACGCACAUUCCGAAGUGCUCAUUCCAUAAGGAACUGUUUCACAAAAAAUAAAACCUGUAAACAGUUUCUGCCUUCAUUUACUUAUCCAAGCGCCAGCGAAACAAACGACAGAAAAGAAGAAGCAUUCGAUAGGCUUGCAAUUUUUUUUUCAUAUGUUUUUAAAUAAUCUGAAUAAUUUUGUUAUUUUUAUUUAGUUGAAUUAUGAAAUUGUUUAUGUUAAAGUUGUUAUUUCCUUGUUAACUGUUGUUUGUCGUUAACAAAGCAUAUAAAAAAAUGCACAUAAUGACAACAGAUUUAUUUUUAGAACUGUUUGCAAAACUAUUGGUUUGGAUACAAAAGACCAAGUGAAAAUGAUGCUGGAAAGAAUGUUUACCGUUUCACUCCAGUCCCAAUCUAAGCUAGUGGGUUCAAAAAGAAAGGACUGCGCUGGAAACAUGAGAAGAUUAAAAGAAUGAGCCCUUUUUAAAAUAAUAGCCGAAGUUGUAACCAGCUCGUAUGAAAGGAUUUCUCAACGUGAAAUAGUUAAUUUUAUUCAACAACGCCAAGAAACAGAGCUCUUUCAAGAAACAGAAAAGAAAGAACAAUACUGUUGUUUUAUUUAUAAAUUAUUCUCAUAUGUUUAAA